rnacentral:misc_RNA from 1 species
UUUUCUUUUGAUUCCAAAGUAAGACCAAAUCGAGCACCAACACCAACAUACUCUAUAUCUUCCACACCAUCAACCCAAGCAGGGACUUUUACCAGAACAAAGUUAUUUUCGCAACCAGGCCUCUUGGGAGCUACAUCGUCGUGAUGUACUAUAUCUCCAGCAGAGGCGAAACAUGGAGCUAAAGCUAAAACAGCUACAAUCAUAAACAGAGGUCCAUGAAUACCCAUUUGGAGAACAGUACAGUACAGAAUAGCUGGAGCUUUAGGGUUCUACAAAGACACAGAGAGGGAGAGAGAGGGUUAAGAGGCAAAGGAGAAUAAGAGAUGUGAA